UGAACGCUGGCGGUAGGCCUAACACAUGCAAGUCGACCGGCAGCACAGUAAGAGCUUGCUCUUACGGGUGGCGAGUGGCGGACGGGUGAGGAAUACAUCGGAAUCUACUUUUUCGUGGGGGAUAACGUAGGGAAACUUACGCUAAUACCGCAUACGACCUACGGGUGAAAGCAGGGGAUCUUCGGGCCUUGCGCGAUUGAAUGAGCCGAUGUCGGAUUAGCUAGUUGGCGGGGUAAAGGCCCACCAAGGCGACGAUCCGUAACUGGUCUGAGAGGAUGAUCAGCCACACUGGAACUGAGACACGGUCCAGACUCCUACGGGAGGCAGCAGUGGGGAAUAUUGGACAAUGGGCGCAAGCCUGAUCCAGCCAUACCGCGUGGGUGAAGAAGGCCUUCGGGUUGUAAAGCCCUUUUGUUGGGAAAGAAAAGCAGCAGGUUAAUACCCCGCUGUUCUGACGGUACCCAAAGAAUAAGCACCGGCUAACUUCGUG
rnacentral:rRNA from 1 species